UGCGCAGGCGGUUAUGUAAGACAGAGGUGAAAUCCCCGGGCUCAACCUGGGAACUGCCUUUGUGACUGCAUGGCUAGAGUGCGGCAGAGGGGGAUGGAAUUCCUGGUGUAGCGGUGAAAUGCGUAGAUAUCAGGAGGAUCACCGGUGGCGAAGGCGGCUACCUGGACAGAAACUGACGCUGAGGCGCGAAAGCUAGGGGAGCAAACA
rnacentral:rRNA from 1 species